rnacentral:lncRNA from 1 species
GGUUCUGUGAUUGGAAUAAGAAGUUUUUGGAAUGAACAGUUUUCUCCAUGGAAUAGAACAAUUCUAAAACCAGUAUGCUCCUUUCAAUUUCAACCAGAUAAAAGGAAUAUUAGAGAUGGACUAGGCUGUGACUUUUUGAGUUUUGAAAUGCUGGAAUGCUGGAAGAGCACCCAAGUCCAUGAAUGCUGAGUCCAUGCCAGAGUUUACCAGCUGCAUCUGGUUUGUCAACAUAGCCCAUGAUCUAUUCCAGUAAUGAACUGACCCAACAUACAAAAUGCCAGGCCAUCCAUGUGAAGGAUCAACUUUGUUGGAUGUGUUGC